UAAAGGGUGGGCCCUCGAAAUCCUGUGGCGAGAGGAUUCAGUCUGGAGAUGCGCUCGCGCUGGUCGGAAAUCAGAGUAGGGCUUCCCGUGACCGGGGCCGUCCGACCGCGAGCUUGCGCUCCGCCAGACGCAUUUGUCUCUCGCUCGAAGGACGCCGCAGCCCGUCGGGAAGCGAAAGCGUGACGGCCUGGAAGGCGGAUCGACGCAGGUGGCCGGUGGCGCGUCUCGUGCGUGCCGCCGGUUGUUAGCAGAUCCGUCGGUGGCUCGUCUCUCGACGGAGGUAUCGAGAAGCCCUCAGGGGCUCUCACGUCUCCUCCUUUCGUAGGACGCCGGACGGACGGUCGCGAGCGAAGGCAGCCGCGCCGCCGCACUCUUUCGGAGUGGGCGAGCGGUGUUUGUCGGCGCCGACUGCGACCGCGGGGCCGGUUCGGAGGCUGGAGGCUUGCGGCGAGUAGGUCGGUCACCCACCCGACCCGUCUUGAAACACGGACCAAGGAGUCUAACAUGUGCGCGAGUCAAUGGGUCUCGAAUAAGCCCAGAGGCGCAAUGAAAGCGAAAGUCGGCAGUCCGUCGACCGAGUCGGGAUCCCUCCUCUCGGGGGGGGCGCACCGACGACCCGUCCUAUGCUGCUCGCAGCUUGGGCGGAGUGUGAGCGUACACGUUGGGACCCGAAAGAUGGUGAACUAUGCCCGGACAGGACGAGGCCAGAGGAAACUCUGGUGGAGGUCCGCAGCGGUCUGACG
rnacentral:rRNA from 1 species